UUUGAGUUUCGAUUCUUUGGAUCAAAGGUGGCCUCUAGAUCUAAGCUAUUGUUUGGAGAUGAGCCCGCGUACCAUUAGCUAGUUGGUAGGGUAAUGGCCUACCAAGGCUGCGAUGGUUAGCUGGUCUGAGAGGAUGAUCAGCCACACUGGAACUGACACACGGUCCAGACUCCUACGGGAGGCAGCAGUGAGGAAUUUUGCCCAAUGGGGGAAACCCUGAGGCAGCAACGCCGCGUGAGUGAUGAAGGCCCUCGGGUCGUAAAGCUCUGUCAAGUGGGAAGAAACUGCGGAAUGUCAAUACCACUCCGCACUGACGGUACCACUGAAGGAAGUACCGGCUAACUCCGUGCCAGCAGCCGCGGUAAUACGGGGGGUACAAGCGUUAUUCGGAAUUAUUGGGCGUAAAGGGCGCGUAGGCGGUCUCUUAAGUCAAAUGUGAAAGCCCGGGGCUUAACCCCGGAAGUGCAUUUGAAACUAUGGGACUUGAGUAUGGGAGAGGGAAGUGGAAUUCCUGGUGUAGAGGUGAAAUUCGUAGAUAUCAGGAGGAACACCGGUGGCGAAGGCGACUUCCUGGACCAAUACUGACGCUGAGGCGCGAAGGCGUGGGGAGCAAACAGGAUUAGAUACCUGGUAGUCCACGCAGUAAACGUUGAACACUAGGUGUAGCGGGUAUUGACCCCUGCUGUGCCGCAGUUAACGCAGUAAGUGUUCCGCCUGGGGAGUACGGUCGCAAGAUUAAAACUCAAAGGAAUUGACGGGGGCCCGCACAAGCGGUGGAGCAUGUGGUUUAAUUCGACGCAACGCGAAGAACCUUACCUGGAUUUGACAUCCCGAGAAGUCUUUCGAAAGUUAGAUGUGCCCUUCGGGGAGCUCGGUGACAGGUGCUGCAUGGCUGUCGUCAGCUCGUGUCGUGAGAUGUUGGGUUAAGUCCCGCAACGAGCGCAACCCCUAUCUUUAGUUACCAUCAUUCAGUUGGGGACUCUAGAGAUACUGCCCCGGUUAACGGGGAGGAAGGUGGGGAUGACGUCAAGUCCUCAUGGCCCUUAUAUCCAGGGCUACACACGUGCUACAAUGGGCUGUACAAAGGGUUGCCAACCUGCGAAGGUGAGCUAAUCCCAAAAAGCAGUUCUCAGUUCGGAUUGGAGUCUGCAACUCGACUCCAUGAAGUUGGAAUCGCUAGUAAUCGUGGAUCAGCAUGCCACGGUGAAUACGUUCCCGGGCCUUGUACACACCGCCCGUCACAUCAUGAGAGUUGGUUGUACCGGAAGUUGCUGGGCCAACCCUUCGGGGGGGCAGGUACCUAUGGUAUGAUUGAUGAUUAGGGUGAAGUCGUAACAAGGUAGCCGUUGGGGAACCAGCGGCUG
rnacentral:rRNA from 1 species